rnacentral:tRNA from 1 species
UAUAGUUUAGUAAAAAACGCAAUACAUUAAAUUUAAAUUUUAGAAAAAAAUGAGGUUCAGCGAUGG